rnacentral:lncRNA from 1 species
CUUCUUUUAUCCCCCUGUUCAUGUGGAACAUUUGGAACAUUCUGUACUUUGAGUAAUAAGAGUUCUAAAAUAUCAGAGCCUGCUCAGUGUGACUUUGAUAAUCGUUCUCAGAGACAGUCAUUACAAGUUAAACUGCAUUGAGUUUAUAUAAGCACAUUGAGUGUAUUUAGCGGAAAGGGAGAGAUUCUUGUGGAAGGACACAGCAGCACACAUUGAGUGUGUAUUGAAUUUUCUACUUGACUGCACGAAGGACUGCUAGAAGUCUUCUUAGAGAGGAAAGCUUGGAGAGUAGAUCAGGAUCAUGGAUGACGUGGUUGGAGAUGGAGUUGGAUGGCAGAGGGUCUACAGUCAGAGUGAAAAGAGGAACAACAGGUCUAGCGCCUCACUGAGAGAAAUUCAAUGUGAGUUCAACAGCAUCUUGAAUGAUACUGUGUCUCAGAUGAGAGCGUGGGAGAAAAAGAUGAGCACUGAGCUCGUGAGAAAGGAUGAGGAGAUCGUCUCUUUAAAGAAAGCUGUCCAACAGGCAGAAAGUGGAGUGGAGAACAUGGAGCAUGAAGUGCAUAGGCUCAACUGCCACCAUCAGGACACUGUGUCUCAGAUGGAAGCUGAAUGGGAGAAGAAGAUGAGCAUUGAAUUGGGGAAGAAAGAUAAGGAGAUCCUCUCUUUUAAGAAAGCUGUCCAACAGGCCGACAGUGGAAUGGAACAGAUAGAGAUUACACUGUGUGAGGUCCAAAUCAUCUUGGAUGCUGUUGUGUCUCAGAUGAGUGUAGAAUGGCAGAAGAAGAUGACGAGCACUGAGCUGGAGAAGAAAAUAGACGAUCUCCAACAGGCCAAGAGUGAAGUGGAGAACAUGAAGAGUGAAGUGUGUAGGCUCAACCAACAUCUCACUCUGAUUGAGGAAAAGGAGAAAGAAACACAAGAAAUGGAGCUUCUGGUGAAGGAGAACGCUGAAAUGAAGGUGCUCACUGCCACAAGCGGAAGGAGAAGAAACAGAAGGAGGAGGACAAAGAAGAAAGAGACAUCAAGCACUGAGCUGGAUAAGAAAGAUGAGGAGACCCUCUCUUUAAUGGACGAUCUCCAACAGGCCAAGAGUGAAGUGGAGAACAUGAAGAGCGAAGUGUGUGAGUUAAAAAGCGUCCGUGAAGAUAUGGUGUGUCGGAUGGAAGCAGAAUGGGAGAAGAAGACGAGAACUGUGCUUGAGAAGAAAGAUGAGGAGAUCGUCACUUUAAAGAAAGCUGUCCAACAGGCAGAAAGUGGAGUGAAGAACAUGGAGCAUGAAGUGCAUAGGCUCAACUGCCACUAUCAGGACACUGUGUCUCAGAUGGAAGCUGAAUGGGAGAAGAAGAUGAGGAUUGAAUUGGGGAAGAAAGAUGAGGAGACCCUCUCUUUAAUGAACGAUCUCCAACAGGCCAAGAGUGAAGUGGAGAACAUGAAGAGCGAAGUGUGUGAGUUAAAAAGCAUCCGUGAUGAAAUGGUAUGUCAGAUGGAAGCAGAAUGGGAGAGGAAGACGAGAACUGAGCUUGAGAAGAAAGAUGAGGCGAUCGUCUCUUUAAAGAAAGCUGUCCAACAGGCAGAAAGUGGAGUGGAGAACAUGGAGCAUGAAGUGCAUAGGCUCAACUGCCACCAUCAGGACACUGUGUCUCAGAUGGAAGCUGAAUGGGAGAAGAAGAUGAGCAUUGAAUUGGGGAAGAAAGAUAAGGAGAUCCUCUCUUUUAAGAAAGCUGUCCAACAGGCCGACAGUGGAAUGGAACAGAUAGAGAUUACACUGUGUGAGGUCCAAAUCAUCUUGGAUGCUGUUGUGUCUCAGAUGAGCGUAGAAUGGCAGAAGAAGAUGACGAGCACUGAGCUGGAGAAGAAAAUAGACGAUCUCCAACAGGCCAAGAGUGAAGUGGAGAACAUGAAGAGUGAAGUGUGUAGGCUCAACCAACAUCUCACUCUGAUUGAGGAAAAGGAGAAAGAAACAAGAAAUUGAGCUUCUGGUGAAGGAGAACGCUGAAAUGAAGGUGCUCGCCACCACAAGCGGAAGGAGAAGAAACAGAAGGAGGAGGACAACGAAAAAGAAGAUGACGACAUCAAGCACUGAGCUGGAUAAGACAGAUGAGGAGAUCUUCUCUUUAAUGGACGAUCUUCAACAGGCCAAGAGUGAAGUGGAGAACAUGAAGAGU